rnacentral:rRNA from 1 species
UAUCGGUAUGGGAUGGGGUCGCGUCCUAUCAGCUUGAUGGCGGGGUAACGGCCCACCAUGGCUUCGACGGGUAGCCGGCCUGAGAGGGCGACCGGCCACAUUGGGACUGAGAUACGGCCCAGACUCCUACGGGAGGCAGCAGUGGGGAAUAUUGCACAAUGGGCGCAAGCCUGAUGCAGCGACGCCGCGUGCGGGAUGACGGCCUUCGGGUUGUAAACCGCUUUUGACUGGGAGCAAGCCCUUCGGGGUGAGUGUACCUUUCGAAUAAGCACCGGCUAACUACGUGCCAGCAGCCGCGGUAAUACGUAGGGUGCAAGCGUUAUCCGGAAUUAUUGGGCGUAAAGGGCUCGUAGGCGGCUCGUCGCGUCCGGUGUGAAAGUCCAUCGCUUAACGGUGGAUCCGCGCCGGGUACGGGCGGG